rnacentral:lncRNA from 1 species
GGAUAGUUGAUGUAGUUUAAAACCACUUGGAGAAAAGAAGUGCCCUUAUUUAGGGAUGUUGAUGUAGUUUAAAACCACUUGGAGAAAAGAGUGCCCUUAUUUAGGGAUAGUUGAUGUAGUUUAAAACCACUUGAGAAAAGAAGUGCCCUUUUUAGGGAUAGUUGAUGUAGUUUAAACCACUUGGAGAAAAGAAGUGCCUUAUUUAGGGAUAGUUGAUGUAGUUUAAAACCACUUGGAGAAAAGAGUGCCAAUCCAGUAAAGUCUCCUCUGACUGGAGGGUGAAGUACUCAAGUGCACUUUGAGUGUUGCCUAUGAGUGAAUGAAUGGUCUGGAUGUGUAGCUGGGAGAGGGUUGAUGGGAAGGAGGAUCAUUGGGGGAAGGAGGAGGUGGAUGGAAGUUUAGUGCAGACAUCAAAUAUCAGUAUUAUUGAUAAUGAAUGGCCAACAUCGGGUGGUCAUAUUGUGAGAAAUGACAUUGCCGGGUGUGGCUGUUCCUGAUUAGAACCUCUAAUGAAUGUUCAUAGUACAUGACAUAAGCCAAAACUCAAAGAGGCCUCAUUGUGCAAAUGCCUGACUUAGAACAUUAUAUGACAUUGCAAGUAAGUGGUUAAAAACGUGUUUAAUUUAUACAGUUAUAAUAUCGAACAUAUCCCAUAUACUACUCAGAAUCAGGACUUUAGACUUAAUUCAUUUUUAUACCUUUGUUAAAUUGUUUUACACUGUUUGAUUUGUUACCAGUGGAGGCUGCUGAGGGGAGGACGGCUCAUAAUAAUGUCUGGAACGGAGUUAAUGGAAGUAUCAAAACACCUGGAAACCUUGUUGGCUGAUGUUAUUGUUGGAAUGGUAUCAAACACCUGGAAACCUUGUGUCUGAUGUAUUGUUGGAAUGGUAUCAAACACCUGGAAAACUUGUGUCUGAUGUAUUGUUGGAAAUGGUAUCAAACACCUGGAAACCUUGUGUCUGCUGUUUGUUGGAAUGGUAUCAAACCUGGAAACCUGUGUCUGAUGUUUGUUUGGAAUGGUAUCAAAAACACCUGGAACCCUUUUGUCUGAUGUAUUGUUGGAAUGGUAUCAACACCUU